AAGCUACAGUGAAAUACUAUCUCACGCCUACCAGGUCUGCAAAAUCCAGCUUGGGCAAGGGUGUCGCCGGCCCCCUCUUAUGCUGGUGGGGGAGGGCGAUUUGGUACCACCCCUUUAGGGGCCUAAAUACAGCCCUCGCACUUCUGCACCAAGGAAUUUAACCUAAGAAAAUAGUCCGACUUGGGCAAAAAACGUUGCUUUGCACUGGAGGCAAUGAAGACACGGCGGAGUCCCAGCUCGCAGGGAGCUCAGGUUCUGACGGCGUCAGAGGACAACACGCUCUGGACCAGCGCAGCGCCCAAGGGUCAGCGGCAGCAGCGAGCAGGGGGCACGGGAUGCGGGGAGGCUCUUCGGGAGGCAUGAAAGGCAGACGUGUUCCGAAACGUGAGCCGCGCUGAGGGGCACGGCGCACGACCGGGGACAGAAGGAAGACACUGCGGUCGCAAAGCCCUGGCCGUGCAAAGGCCCCGUGGUCAGCCAGGAGCCCAGGCGUCCCCUGCUCUAGCGAGGUUUCCUUCCGAACGUCCCGUAGCACCGCUUACCAUGGAACGGCGGGCGCUGCCUCGCAGCCCCGACCCCGC
rnacentral:lncRNA from 10 species